rnacentral:rRNA from 1 species
GUCGAGCGGUAACAGGUGUAGCAAUACAUGCUGACGAGCGGCGAACGGGUGAGUAAUGCUUCGGAAUCUACCCAGUAGUGGGGAAUAACUAACCGAAAGGUUAGCUAAUACCGCAUACGUCCUACGGGAGAAAGCGGGGGUCGCAAGACCUCGCGCUAUUGGAUGAGCCGAAGUCGGAUUAGCUAGUUGGUGGGGUAACGGCUCACCAAGGCGACGAUCCGUAGCUGGUCUGAGAGGACGACCAGCCACACUGGAACUGAGACACGGUCCAGACUCCUACGGGAGGCAGCAGUGGGGAAUAUUGGACAAUGGGGGAAACCCUGAUCCAGCGACGCCGCGUGUGUGAAGAAGGCCUGCGGGUUGUAAAGCACUUUUAGUGGGGAUGAAAAGUUCAGGGCUAAUACCUCUGGAUCUUGACCUAACCUACAGAAAAAGCACCGGCUAACUCUGUGCCAGCAGCCGCGGUAAUACAGAGGGUGCAAGCGUUAAUCGGAAUUACUGGGCGUAAAGCGUGCGUAGGCGGUUUCGUAAGUCGGGUGUGAAAGCCCCGGGCUCAACCUGGGAAUUGCAUUCGAGACUGCGAAGCUAGGGUGCGGAAGAGGGAAGCGGAAUUUCCGGUGUAGCGGUGAAAUGCGUAGAUAUCGGAAGGAACAUCAGUGGCGAAAGCGGCUUCCUGGUCCAGCGCCGACGCUCAGGCACGAAAGCGUGGGGAGCAAACAGGAUUAGAUACCCUG